rnacentral:tRNA from 1 species
CGGAGCGUAGCGCAGCCCGGUAGCGCAUCUGGUUCGGGACCAGGGGGUCGCGAGUUCAAAUCUCGCCGCUCCGACCA